UGAGCUUAUGUAAGGCAGCACAGCUCCUCAGAUGUGACGUGCGCAGGAAGACAGAGGGGAAGGAAGGGAGAAAGAGAAGGAGAGAAACAUCGUAGUGUGGCUGCCUCUCACACAUCCCCCGCUGGGGACCUGGCCCGAAACCCAAUCAUGAUCCCCAACCAGGAAUUGAACUGGCAACCUCCUAGCUCGCAGGCUGGUGCUCAAUCCGCUGAGCCACACCAGCCAGGGCAGGGUCCCUUACAGCCUCCUGAAGAGACAGACAAGGAAGAAGCAAGCAAAUCAACAUGCCCGCUUCACACCAUGAGCUGCGGCCUCCGGUGUGAGUCUACCUGCAGGCGUAGCGUUCCAUUUCAAUCUCUUCUAGGAUAACCACACAUAGUCGAGAGUGUAAUCCUACACUAAUUUAAUCUUCAAAACAGCCCUGUGAGGAGACGUUGUCAUUGGCCCCAUGCUAUAGAUGAAGAAACUGAGGCCCAGACAAGUACCCCACUUCACACAGCUGAUGAACAGCAGAGCAAGAAUUUGAACCCAGAAAGUUCACUUCAAAAUUCAUGCUGUCUGAAGCACUCUAUCAUACAGACUUUAGGUAGGUUGUCUAUGGCUUUCAUAUCAGGAUCGUUAGGUUGUUAGUAAAUAUUGGUCUGAUAAGGGUGCGGUCCAACGGCCUAGACGCUCUCUGGGCCCGUCCAUCUGCUCGGACGUCCAUCUGCUCUGGCUCUGUCCCUCAAUGACUCGUUUGAUUUAACCCUGAGCUUGGAAGCACAGGGAACUUUCCGAAGAGAAACAGUGUUAUGGCAAAUUAGUGAAGCGUUUUUUAAACCCAAGUCUAGCAAAGACACAAUGUAGCUUCUCUGAGACGUUGCUGGUAGGAGGGCAGCGAGAUGACCCUUUCUCUGCAAAAACUCA